CUACGGAGGGUGCAAGCGUUAUUCGGAAUCACUGGGCGUAAAGGACGCGUAGGCGGGUUGGCAAGUCAGAUGUGAAAUCCUACAGCUUAACUGUAGAACUGCAUUUGAAACUGCUAACCUAGAGUAUGAGAGGGGGAGAUGGAAUUAGUGGUGUAGGGGUAAAAUCCGUAGAUAUCACUAGGAAUACCGAAAGCGAAGGCGAUCUCCUGGAACAUAACUGACGCUAAGGCGUGAAAGCGUGGGGAGCAAACAGGAUUAGAAACCCUAGUAGUCC
rnacentral:rRNA from 1 species